rfam:Lactobacillus reuteri DSM 20016, complete genome.
GUUGGGGUAGGAAUCUCAGAGUUAUUGUCUAACGGAACGGAAUGUGAACGUUAGGAGGAGGCUUAUAACUAGCUGCUUUGUUAUUCCGCAUUCACCAUG